rnacentral:rRNA from 1 species
AGUGAACGCUGGCGGUAGGCCUAACACAUGCAAGUCGAACGGCAGCACAGUAAGAGCUUGCUCUUACGGGUGGCGAGUGGCGGACGGGUGAGGAAUACAUCGGAAUCUACUUUUUCGUGGGGGAUAACGUAGGGAAACUUACGCUAAUACCGCAUACGACCUACGGGUGAAAGCAGGGGAUCUUCGGACCUUGCGCGAUUGAAUGAGCCGAUGUCGGAUUAGCUAGUUGGCGGGGUAAAGGCCCACCAAGGCGACGAUCCGUAGCUGGUCUGAGAGGAUGAACAGCCACACUGGAACUGAGACACGGUCCAGACUCCUACAGGGGGCAGCAGUGGGGAAUAUUGGACGAUGGGCGCAAGCCUGAUCCAGCCAUACCGCGUGGGUGAAGAAGGCCUUCGGGUUGUAAAGCCCUUUUGUUGGGAAGGAAGAGCAGCAGGUUAAUACCCCGCUGUUCUGACGGUACCCAAAGAAUAAGCACCGGCUAACUUCGUG